AACCAUAGAAACCUGCGGAGUACCUGCGGAAGGAUCAUUACCGAGUGCGGGUCCUCGUGGCCCAACCUCCCACCCGUGACUAUUGUACCUUGUUGCUUCGGCGGGCCCGUGCCCGCCGGAGACCCCAACAUGAACCCUGUUCUGAAAGCUUGCAGUCUGAGUGUGAUUCUUUGCAAUCAGUUAAAACUUUCAGCAACGGAUCU
rnacentral:misc_RNA from 1 species